CCUACGGGAGGCAGCAGUGGGGAAUAUUGGGCAAUGGGCGAAAGCCUGACCCAGCAAUGCCGCGUGAAUGAAGAAGGUCUUAGGAUGGUAAACUUCUGUCCUGUGGGAAGAAAAAAAUGACGGUACCAUAGGAGGAAGCCACGGCUAACUACGUGCCAGCAGCCGCGGUAAUACGGAGGGGCCGAGCGUUGUCCGGAGUUACUGGGGUUAAAGAGGGCGUAGGCGGCACUACAAGUCUCAGGUGAAAUACCCGGGCUUAACCUGGGGGUUGCAGGGGAAACGGGAGGGCUUGAGUACAGGAGAGGCAAGAGGAAUUUCUAGUGUAGCGGUGAAAUGCAGAGAUAUUAGGAGGAACACCAGUGGCGAAGGCGGCUGGCGGGACUGAAACUGACGCUGAGGCUCGAAAGCGUGGGGAGCAAACAGGAUUAGAUACCCCAGUAGUC
rnacentral:rRNA from 1 species